UACGGGGGGAGCAAGCGUUGUUCGGAUUUACUGGGCGUAAAGGGCGCGUAGGCGGCGCAACAAGUCACUUGUGAAAUCUCCGGGCUUAACCCGGAGCGGCCAAGUGAUACUGUCGUGCUAGAGUGCGGAAGGGGCUACUGGAAUUCUCGGUGUAGCGGUGAAAUGCGUAGAUAUCGAGAGGAACACCUGCGGCGAAGGCGGGUAGCUGGGCCGACACUGACGCUGAGGCGCGAAAGCGUGGGGGGCAAACAGG
rnacentral:rRNA from 1 species